AUUAUUCAACAGCUCAAGUCAAAAUCAAAAUAAUUUGCUAUACCCCUUUAUGGGCUAUAAAUAGGGAUCAUAACAUGCUGAAACUAAAGUACCUUUACAUAUAUUCCAAUUUUAUAGCAUCAAAUUUUUGAGAAAAUAGUUAUGGAGAAAGUUGUGUUCAAUUACGUGAAACUGGUCAUCCUGCUUGUUUUUGUGUUUGUUGCAGCAGCUCCGAUUUCUGCAAGGAUGCCGGGAACAACCAACAUGCAGAGUAUGAAUGAAGUGGAGAGUGGGACGAGUAGGGUGGUUCUGGUUCCUAACACAAGAGGUGGUACAACUCAAGAUUAUUUGGUAGGGAGUAAAAAGAAAAAGGAGGAAUGUAUUAAAAGAGGCUAUCCGUGUGAGCCCUAUGCAAAAUGUUGCCAUUCUUGCGUUGUUGAUCCUAUCUACGGCUUCAAAGUAUGCUCAUGAACAUAUUUAUUAUGAUGAUUGAUGAGUAUGGAGAAGUUACUGCUUAUGUGUUAUGUCAAAUGUGUGUAACUACUUUAUAGCGCCCAUUGUGCGCUGAUGCUUACCUCAAUUAUGUGAGUGAUAUGAAUAAAAAUUUGUGUGCUUUUCUUUUAUACAAUAAGGUCAAUGGUCACUUCAUUCUAUGUUAUCUAUUUCUAUAGUAAUUGGUUUGGCCCUCAAAAUAUCCAUGUAUUAGAGAACAUUUUGUGCAACAAGGUAUAUUAAUUAGGAAGAAAUUGCAAGAAGUUUAAAAGAACUCUAAAACAAAAGGAGAAUUUUAUCAAA